GAGAGAGAGAGAAUAUCCACAAAUAGGGAAGAAGAUUUCAAAGAUAAGGUCAUGUCUACAAUUAUUAAAUUACAAAAACAAUUAUCAUGGACGGGACAAAAGGGAUGAUGGAUGAAAUGUAUGUAUGAUGUAAUAGCUCUUGCCCAGAAAUCCGCUUCUAGAAAAUUGCCGUUCCCGAGUUUGGACACACGGGGGCAGUCAAGCUCCAUCCAGCACAACGCCGCCCGAAACAGAAGGCCAGCAUGCAUUGCGACGGUCAACAAACAGCUUUCUCAAAGGACAGCGGCGAGGCAUGAAAACAGAAGGCUAACGAGCUGCUUGCUAAACUUCGAUCUGAGCAGAGCGCGCUGCUACAUCCUUCAUCAGCUCAAGAAAGUGCCACACGGGCCAGCUAUCAGAUUUCCUGUAUUUUACAUCAAGAACAGCUAUGUGCCCAAUCCAUCGGGCUUGUGGAUGUGAUGCGUGACGUCGUCAAAAUUGUGAAUGAUAUACGCUCCAAGGCGCUCUCUCACCUGCAGUUCAAGGUACUGUUGGAUGAGAUGGAUGUGCAAUAUGGUGAUGUGUUGUACCACCAGGAGGUUAGAUGGCUGAACAGAAGAAAAGUUCUCAGGAGAUUUUUUGAUCUGCGUGAUGAGAUCAGAGCUUUUCAGGAAAGCAAGAUUGGUAGUAUUCAAGAGCCCAUGGAUAAGAAAUGGUUUUCUGACCUGGCUUUCCUGGUGGACGUCACAGAGCUGCUCAAUGUUUUAAAUGUUCAGCUCCAGGGAAAAGACCAGAUUAUCACCCAGCUUUUUUAUCACGUCAGAGCCUUCAAACAAAAACUACUGCUGCUCAGAAGACAUCUCUCAGCAGCUAACAUUCACAAUUAUAAUAUUCACCAUAGUUUUAUGUGCAGUUAUUGUUAUUAUUAAUACUUAUAUUUAGUUAACAUUUAUAUCCAGUGGUGUCAGCUUUGGGUUUUUUUGUUAAUCAAGCUGAUAAUAAUGACUAGAUUCUGUUCUACUACUUCGCAGUCAUAAUAAUCUUUUUUCUCCCUCUCUCCUUUCGCCGAGCCCCACAUGAAUUUAUGGAGAUACUAGAGAUCCAGAUCCUUUCUGCCUCUGGAUGGAGCUCAAAUCUUCUCUAAUUCCAGACUGCUGGGACUACGGCUGCUCCUAAGGCCAUACAGACUUCAUAUAAAUCCAUAAUGAACUUUUUCACACUAUCUGUUGUUACCUAGAUGAGGAUGGGUUCCCUUCUGAGUCGGGUUCCUCUCAAGGUUUCUUCCUCUUAAAACAUCUUAGGGAGUUUUUCCUUGCCACCGUCGCCACUCAGUGGCUUGCUCAGUUGGGAUAAAUUCGCACCUUUAAUAUCUGUAUACCAUGUUGAUAUUUCUGUAAAGCUGCUUUGAGACAAUGUCUAUUGUAAAAAGCGCUAUACAAAUAAAAUUGAAUUGAAUUGAAAU